AUUGAACGCUGGCGGCAGGCCUAACACAUGCAAGUCGAGCGGAUGAAGGGAGCUUGCUCCUGGAUUCAGCGGCGGACGGGUGAGUAAUGCCUAGGAAUCUGCCUGGUAGUGGGGGAUAACGUCCGGAAACGGGCGCUAAUACCGCAUACGUCCUGAGGGAGAAAGUGGGGGAUCUUCGGACCUCACGCUAUCAGAUGAGCCUAGGUCGGAUUAGCUAGUUGGUGGGGUAAAGGCCUACCAAGGCGACGAUCCGUAACUGGUCUUAGAGGAUGAUCAGUCACACUGGAACUGAGACACGGUCCAGACUCCUACGGGAGGCAGCAGUGGGGAAUAUUGGACAAUGGGCGAAAGCCUGAUCCAGCCAUGCCGCGUGUGUGAAGAAGGUCUUCGGAUUUUAAAGCACUUUAAGUUGGGAGGAAGGGCAGUAAGUUAAUACCUUGCUGUUUUGACGUUACCAACAGAAUAAGCACCGGCUAACUUCGUG
rnacentral:rRNA from 1 species